UCAGAGCGAACGCUGGCGGCAGGCUUAACACAUGCAAGUCGAGCGGGCGUAGCAAUACGUCAGCGGCAGACGGGUGAGUAACGCGUGGGAACGUACCUUUUGGUUCGGAACAACACAGGGAAACUUGUGCUAAUACCGGAUAAGCCCUUACGGGGAAAGAUUUAUCGCCGAAAGAUCGGCCCGCGUCUGAUUAGCUAGUUGGUGAGGUAAUGGCUCACCAAGGCGACGAUCAGUAGCUGGUCUGAGAGGAUGAUCAGCCACAUUGGGACUGAGACACGGCCCAAACUCCUACGGGAGGCAGCAGUGGGGAAUAUUGGACRAUGGGGGCAACCCUGAUCCAGCCAUGCCGCGUGAGUGAUGAAGGCCCUAGGGUUGUAAAGCUCUUUUGUGCGGGAAGAUAAU
rnacentral:rRNA from 1 species